AGCAGCCGUGGUAAUUCCAGCUCCAAUAGCGUAUAUUAAAGUUGUUGCAGUUAAAAAGCUCGUAGUUGAAUUUCGGGGUCAGUAGCCUGGUCGUGCCACUGGUAUGUACUGGGCUCACUGAUUCCUCCUUCCUGAUGAACUGUAAUGCCAUUAAUUUGGUGUUGCAGGGAAACUGGACUAUUACUUUGAAAAAAUUAGAGUGUUUAAAGCAGGCUAACGCUUGAAUACAUUAGCAUGGAAUAAUGAAAUAGGACGUUCGAUCCUAUUUCGUUGGUUUCUAGGAUUGACGUAAUGAUUAAUAGGGAUAGUUGGGGGCAUUAGUAUUCAAUUGUCAGAGGUGAAAUUCUUGGAUUUAUUGAAGACUAACUACUGCGAAAGCAUUUGCCAAGGAUGUUUUCAUUAAUCAAGAACGAAAGUUAGGGGAUCGAAGACGAUCAGAUACCGUCGUAGUCUUAACCAUAAACUAUGCCGACUAGGGAUCGGAUGAUGUUAAUUUUUUAAUGUACUCAUUCGGCG
rnacentral:rRNA from 1 species